rnacentral:tRNA from 1 species
UGGGUUUGUGGCUUAGUGGUAGAGCGCUUGCCUGGCAUUGGGUUCAAUCCUCAGCACCACAUAAAAAUAAAUAAACAAAAGUAAAGGUAUUGUGUCCAUCUACACUUAAAAAAGAAAGAAAAAAAAAGUGGUGGGGAUGUAGCUCAGUGGUAGAGUGCCCCUGAGUUCAAUCCUUAGUACCUAA